UAACAUAAAAUGUGGAGAAAGUGCAACGCCGUGAAUACUUUCUGGGUGCACCGUAGCUACCUGCUCUACAACAAACCUGUGCAGUUUAGAUUAAAAAGAAACUUGUUUUUGUACAACUCAAAGCAUGAUUCCACAAAAAUAACAAGCAUAAUAAUCAAUAAUCAAUGGAUAAUGAUAUUUUGAUAAUGAUGAUUAUAUGUUAAAGAUUUAUAAGUUAAGGGAAUAAUACUUAUUUGACUUAGUCUUUAAUAUUUAGCACACUUUGUUGUAAUUUUUUAUUAAUUGUACUGCCUUUGUUUUAUAUUUUUGUUUUGUCUUUUUUAUGAAUAUAAAUGUUUUCUUCAUACAUAAGGUUUUUGCACAGUGCUGUAUAUUAGCUAGCCAUGCUGCAUUAUGUCACAUUAUCAUUUUAAAUUAAAUAAGCCCCUGUUGUACGGGAGAUUAACCUAUUCCAAAAACACAUUUACUAUAGUUCUCAGCCUAAGAAAAGGCUGCAUUCUUCAAAUAACUGUUUAUUAUUCAGGUUGUUACCAAGAUAGCUAAGAAGCUAACGCCCUUCACCCAGUCAAUAAAAUGCCUCACUAAGCUUAUAGUUUCCAUACACCUAAUUAAGAUAUAUUUACUCUGUUAAACUGUGUGUAAGAAAAUUACAUAUUCUGAGGCUACACAGGUGCUAAUUUUCCAAAAUAAUUUCAACAACUGCGCUUGUGACGAGAUAUUUGUGUUUACCGAUUAGCUCUACAAAAACAACUUUAAGUCACCAGGUCUGACAAUUGGCUGGACCGUGAAAAUUUUUAUUUGCGUUUUAAUUUCCUAGUGUGACCGCAGCAUGACACCAUUUGUGCAGUCUACCUCACAUGACUGUAGUUUUAGCUGAUGGUGCACUCGCGGUGCAGCAGCAUAGCCUAGUGUGUGUGUGUGUGUGUGUGUGUGUGUGUGUGUUGUCUGAUCUGAGCUUGGCAGAAAAAAAAAACCCUGCACUGAAUGACAUCAUAAGGUCAUGGCAGUGGACAGUUGGGGUUGCCCUAAAAGUGACCCUGAAAUGUAUAAUCCAAUACAUUUGCUUUAAUCUUUUGUGAACUACUGUGGUUGUGCGCGUGUGAAUGUGUAUAUACGUGGGCACUUUUUUUUUUUUUAUUUAGUGUGUUGAAUUUUAUAAAUUGUUAGUAUAUAUAACACACUUGCACAACUUUAAAACCGAGUGUAACGUGUUUCUGUUGUACAUACCUAUACAUACAAUACAAAUGCACCACUUGUUUAUAUGUGUGAAUAUGUUGCCAUACUUGCAGUCGACUUAAAUGUAUUUUCAUGUAAUCUGAGGUACAAGCAGCAACAAACGAUCCAUUAAAGACAUUUUCUUGGGAGAUUA